UCAAACACAGAAAGUUAAUGUUUAGGCUGGAAUUGUGUGCAAUAAAAUUAUUGGGACUUUCAUCAUCUAAGAUAUUUUCACAUCUGCGGAGGGCUCUUUGCACAGAAAAACAUAUCUAAUGAAUACAUAUGUAUUAUGUAGUAUGGAACAUUAAUUGAACUCAUUGCUACGACUUGCCCACCGGAAAGUAGAUAUGAUGCUGGUACUCUCGUUGACAUAGCGAGAGUGGCGACGGAAACUGGUGAAGUUGAUGUCAUGGCCAUUGAGAGAUGGCUGGGGCGGAUCUUCCCGUCUGUGCUGUGCACCCUCCGCAGGCGCGUCGACUAAACGGUGCAGUGCUCCUACCAAGCGAGAAAAUAGGAAGCAGAAGAGGAAGAGGGAAUAUGCACACGUGCAGUCCCUUUAUAAGAAAAACCUCAAAACCUGUGUUUCGCAUAUACUCGAAGGUGGCUCCGAGCGUAAGCGCCAGUCCGCUGUUGAAUUUCGUGAUUACUGGCGUCCCCUUAUGGAGGCGACCGGUGUCGCGGAUGAAGAUAUGACGGAGCUGCGUGAGCUAAACAGCCCUGCAAUAUCGUUCACGGACUGAGUGGUGCGUGCAUAAUUGCGUACUGCUUGUCCAUUGACGAAACAGUAGCCAAAUGCCUCGUCAUCUAAUUAGUGACGCGCAUGAAUGGAUCAACAAGAUUCCCACUGUCCCUAUCUACU
rnacentral:ncRNA from 1 species